AUUGAACGCUGGCGGCAGGCCUAACACAUGCAAGUCGAGCGAGCGGCGGACGGGUGAGUAAUGUCUGGGAAACUGCCUGAUGGAGGAGGCUAACUACUGGAAACGUUAGCUAAUACCGCAUACCAUCAGAUGUGCCCCGAUGGGAUUAGCUGGUCGGUGGGGUAACGGCUUACCUAUGCGACGAUCCCUAGCUGGUCUGAGAGGAUGACCAGCCACACUGGAACUGGGACACGUGCCGGACGCCUACGGGAGGGAGCAGGGGGGAAGAUUGCACAAUGGGCGCAAGCCUGGUGCAGCCAUUCCGCGUGUUUGAAGAAGGCCUUCGGGGUGUAAAGCACUUUCAGCGGGUAGGCGUUACCCGCAGAAGAAGCACCGGCUAACUCCGUGCCAGCAGCCGCGGUAAUUC
rnacentral:rRNA from 1 species